rnacentral:rRNA from 2 species
UACGGAGGGUGCAAGCGUUAUCCGGAUUUAUUGGGUUUAAAGGGUCCGUAGGCGGACUUAUAAGUCAGUGGUGAAAGCCUGUCGCUUAACGAUAGAACUGCCAUUGAUACUGUAAGUCUUGAGUAUAUUUGAGGUAGCUGGAAUAAGUAGUGUAGCGGUGAAAUGCAUAGAUAUUACUUAGAACACCAAUUGCGAAGGCAGGUUACCAAGAUAUAACUGACGCUGAGGGACGAAAGCGUGGGGAGCGAAC